GCCUUAUUCAUGGAUAGCUCAGUUGGUUAGAGCGUGGUGCUGUUAAUGCCAAGGUUGCAGGCUCGAUCCCCAUAUGGGGCA